rnacentral:misc_RNA from 1 species
GAGAGGAUACCUCUCGUAUAACCCAUUCCGUGUACGAACGAACCCUGUUGCUUCGGCAGGCCGUGGCUUCCUGUGCUUGCCUGCCUGUGCCUGCCAGAGGACGCAAACUCUGAUGUUAGUGAUGUCUGAGUACUAUAUAAUAAGUUA